rnacentral:lncRNA from 1 species
UAUUUUCUAUUUUUAAUUGGUUGGGUUGAAAUUGAAUAAGUCAUUUGGUAUAAUUAAGAGAUUAAUCUUUUUUUUAAGUAGUAUAGUGACAAGAAUUCACAUUUUUAAAAGUGAAGAAAUGAGGUGUCUGGAGUUCGAAUCUCAAUCUCUACAUAUAACAAUGCAUAUUCCUACCAACUGAAUUAUGUUCACAUGGAAUAGUUGUUUGUUCUUGUAAUGUGUUAGAAACUAGU